rnacentral:rRNA from 1 species
GUUAAACGCUGGCGGCAUGCCUUACACAUGCAAGUCGAACGGCAGCACGGGGGCAACCCUGGUGGCGAGUGGCGAACGGGUGAGUAAAGCAUCGGAACGUGCCCUGGAGUGGGGGAUAACGUAGCGAAAGUUACGCUAAUACCGCAUAUUCUGUGAGCAGGAAAGCAGGGGAUCGCAAGACCUUGCGCUCUGGGAGCGGCCGAUGUCGGAUUAGCUAGUUGGUGGGGUAAAGGCCUACCAAGGCGACGAUCCGUAGCGGGUCUGAGAGGAUGAUCCGCCACACUGGGACUGAGACACGGCCCAGACUCCUACGGGAGGCAGCAGUGGGGAAUUUUGGACAAUGGGCGAAAGCCUGAUCCAGCCAUGCCGCGUGAGUGAAGAAGGCCUUCGGGUUGUAAAGCUCUUUCGGUGGGGAAGAAAUUGCAUGGGCUAAUACCCUGUGUAGAUGACGGUACCUGGAGAAGAAGCACCGGCUAACUACGUGCCAGCAGCCGCGGUAAUACGUAGGGUGCGAGCGUU